rnacentral:rRNA from 1 species
AAGCGUACACGGUGGAUGCCCUGGCAGUCAGAGGCGAUGAAGGACGUGCUAAUCUGCGAUAAGCGUCGGUAAGGUGAUAUGAACCGUUAUAACCGGCGAUUUCCGAAUGGGGAAACCCAGUGUGAUUUGUCACACUAUUAUUAACUGAAUCCAUAGGUUAAUGAGGCGAACCGGGGGAACUGAAACAUCUAAGUACCCCGAGGAAAAGAAAUCAACCGAGAUUCCCCCAGUAGCGGCGAGCGAACGGGGAGGAGCCCAGAGCCUGA